rnacentral:rRNA from 1 species
GUCGAACGAUGAAGCCCAGCUUGCUGGGUGGAUUAGUGGCGAACGGGUGAGUAACACGUGAGUAACCUGCCCUUAACUCUGGGAUAAGCCUGGGAAACUGGGUCUAAUACCGGAUAGGAGCGUCCACCGCAUGGUGGGUGUUGGAAAGAUUUAUCGGUUUUGGAUGGACUCGCGGCCUAUCAGCUUGUUGGUGAGGUAAUGGCUCACCAAGGCGACGACGGGUAGCCGGCCUGAGAGGGUGACCGGCCACACUGGGACUGAGACACGGCCCAGACUCCUACGGGAGGCAGCAGUGGGGAAUAUUGCACAAUGGGCGAAAGCCUGAUGCAGCGACGCCGCGUGAGGGAUGACGGCCUUCGGGUUGUAAACCUCUUUCAGUAGGGAAGAAGCGAAAGUGACGGUACCUGCAGAAGAAGCACCGGCUAACUACGUGCCAGCAGCCGCGGUAAUACGUAGGGUGCGAGCGUUAUCCGGAAUUAUUGGGCGUAAAGAGCUCGUAGGCGGUUUGUCGCGUCUGUCGUGAAAGUCCGGGGCUUAACCCCGGAUCUGCGGUGGGUACGGGCAGACUAGAGUGCAGUAGGGGAGACUGGAAUUCCUGGUGUAGCGGUGGAAUGCGCAGAUAUCAGGAGGAACACCGAUGGCGAAGGCAGGUCUCUGGGCUGUAACUGACGCUGAGGAGCGAAAGCAUGGGGAGCGAACAGGAUUAGAUACCCUGGUAGUCCAUGCCGUAAACGUUGGGCACUAGUGUGGGGACCAUUCCACGGUUUCCGCGCCGCAGCUAACGCAUUAAGUGCCCCGCCUGGGGAGUACGGCCGCAAGGCUAAAACUCAAAGGAAUUGACGGGGGCCCGCACAGCGGCGGAGCAUGCGGAUUAAUUCGAUGCAACGCGAAGAACCUUACCAAGGCUUGACAUGUUCUCGAUCGCCGUAGAGAUACGGUUUCCCCUUUGGGGCGGGUUCACAGGUGGUGCAUGGUUGUCGUCAGCUCGUGUCGUGAGAUGUUGGGUUAAGUCCCGCAACGAGCGCAACCCUCGUUCCAUGUUGCCAGCACGUCGUGGUGGGGACUCAUGGGAGACUGCCGGGGUCAACUCGGAGGAAGGUGAGGACGACGUCAAAUCAUCAUGCCCCUUAUGUCUUGGGCUUCACGCAUGCUACAAUGGCCGGUACAAUGGGUUGCGAUACUGUGAGGUGGAGCUAAUCCCAAAAAGCCGGUCUCAGUUCGGAUUGGGGUCUGCAACUCGACCCCAUGAAGUCGGAGUCGCUAGUAAUCGCAGAUCAGCAACGCUGCGGUGAAUACGUUCCCGGGCCUUGUACACACCGCC